rnacentral:rRNA from 1 species
UGGGGAAUAUUGCACAAUGGGCGCAAGCCUGAUGCAGCCAUGCCGCGUGUAUGAAGACGGCCUUCGGGUUGUAAAGUACUUUCAGCGAGGAGGAAGGCGUUGUGGUUAAUAACCGCAACGAUUGACGUUACUCGCAGAAGAAGCACCGGCUAACUCCGUGCCAGCAGCCGCGGUAAUACGGAGGGUGCAAGCGUUAAUAGGAAUUACUGGGCGUAAAGCGCACGCAGGCGGUCUGUCAAGUCGGAUGUGAAAUCCCCGGGCUCAACCUGGGAACUGCAUCCGAAACUGGCAGGCUAGAGUCUUGUAGAGGGGGGUAGAAUUCCAGGUGUAGCGGUGAAAUGCGUAGAGAUCUGGAGGAAUACCGGUGGCGAAGGCGGCCCCCUGGACAAAGACUGACGCUCAGGUGCGAAAGCGUGGGGAGCAAACA